rnacentral:rRNA from 1 species
UACGGAGGGGGCGAGCGUUAUUCGGAAUUAUUGGGCGUAAAGGGCGCGUAGGCGGCUUGACAAGUCAAAGGUGAAAUCCCUCGGCUCAACUGAGGAACUGCCUUUGAAACUGUCUGGCUUGAGGCCGGGAGGGGGUAGCGGAAUUCCCAGUGUAGCGGUGAAAUGCGUAGAUAUUGGGAGGAACACCAGUGGCGAAGGCGGCUACCUGGACCGGUACUGACGCUGAUGCGCGAAAGCGUGGGUAGCAAACAGG